rnacentral:rRNA from 1 species
GAUGAACGCUGGCGGCGUGCCUAAUACAUGCAAGUCGAGCGAACAGACGAGGAGCUUGCUCCUCUAACGUUAGCGGCGGACGGGUGAGUAACACGUGGAUAACCUACCUAUAAGACUGGGAUAACUUCGGGAAACCGGAGCUAAUACCGGAUAAUAUAUUGAACCGCAUGGUUCAAUAGUGAAAGACGGUUUUGCUGUCACUUAUAGAUGGAUCCGCGCCGCAUUAGCUAGUUGGUAAGGUAACAGCUUACCAAGGCAACGAUGCGUAGCCGACCUGAGAGGGUGAUCGGCCACACUGGAACUGAGACGCGGUCCAGACUCCUACGGGAGGCAGCAGUAGGGAAUCUUCCGCGAAGGGCGAAAGCCUGACGGAGCAACGCCGCGUGAGUGAUGAAGGUCUUCGGAUCGUAAAACUCUGUUAUUAGGGAAGAACAAAUGUGUAAGUAACUAUGCACGUCUUGACGGUACCUGAUCAGAAAGCCACGGCUAACUACGUG